GAAAGUUAGUGUGACCGUCGCCCCAAAUGGUUAUGCAGAUGCACAAGAACAGGUUUGUCAUGCCUGAAGAGUGAAGCAUGCUUUUAUCAGACUUCCUGGACAUUGUGGAGAAGAAAUCAGUGAAGCACUGGGUAAUGUAGUUCAUUCAAAACUUUUGAUAUGCUGUAUUGUACACUACCCGAAUACCCAAUGGUCUCAUAAUAUUAUAUAAUAUAUGCCCGGUUUUAAGGGUUUGUUGUUCAAUGCAGCUGUCUGAACUGCUGUUACAUGGAACUACUCUAAAUCUCGGCAUUUCAGUCUGAUAUCCCUAAAUUCACCCGUGUUCUUUAGUAGGUUUGCUUGUCUUGCUCUGUUGUUCCUACUAUUCAUUUCAAUCACCUUUGUCUUUGAUGAUCCAACCAGGAUCAUUUUCGCAUUAGGUCUUCCAUUAAAAAAUAUAUGCUGCAGUCCAUCUUCUUAUCAGCAUGUGUAUUAAAGUAACCAAAUAGAUGUAAAGUAACAAAAUAGAUUAUAAUAUGUUAAAAAAUAUAAAUGGGGCCACAAAUAAUGCUAUAGCAAGCAACUGCAAUUGAGUAUCACAAGUGAUGUCCUGAUAGGCCAAUUGGGAUUGCUGUUAUCUGGUCAAUCUGGUUUAUCCAGCAAGAUUCAUGGAGUGAGAACUGCUUUUUGCAUCUAUACAGUUCCAUUAUUCACAACCUGUUUGACUUAACCACUUUAUAAUUACAGUGGAAUAAUACCUAGUGUGGCUCAUGCCUUAAAGAAUGUGUUGGAAUUUUUCAUUUGGUAUACUAAGAUUUACAAAGUUAAACACCAAGAGUGUUCCCAGUAAAUGUGUGUAAUGUCUCUAAUAUUGUAAUUCACCGGGUCAUUUUCUUAUUCUUUAAUCCAAGGAAAGAGUCCAGAUGCUGUUAAUUUCUGGCCAGGUGAAUCAGCGGCCAUAACAUCCUGUUCCCUGGAUUCCUCUUAAUCCAUUAGAGCAAGACUUGAUUCGCUACCCUGCUUAUAAACAGACAAAACCUCUGCACUGCACAGUGAGAGCGGGAGAAAUGCUGUAUCUGCCAUAUUUGUGGAUAUUAAAUUACAUUUUUGGUAUGACAUGGAGAACGACAUCCAGUACCACUAUUUCCAGCUUCUUGACUCUAUUUCCAGAACCGUCACUUGAACCCCAGCUAUAAUUCUCAUCAUCAGGCAGCCCCAUAAUGAAGCCAAGGCUAACCAAAAACCCUGCUAUGGAUUAAAGGGAAAAGCCAGGAUCAGGCUACAUGCUCAGGGAGUGCACUUCCUCCUAGUGAUCUCAUGUCCUGCAUCACAUUCUGAGCAACCUAUUUAUGAAAUGUUAUAUAAUGUGAAAUACUCAUAGAGCUGCUCACAACAAUAAAGGCAUCCACAUGUAUGUUUUACAUUUUUUUUACCUUGUCAUCUUUACAUAACGAUGCAUUUUAAGGGACAUAGAUAAUAAAUGGUACAUGUAACUGAACAUGUGCAACACAAUGGCUUCCCUCAAUAUAUGCAAAGGAAACAAAACCCGGCCUAUGACUACUAAAUCUCUGGAUAAUUGAUCAGAAUAGGGAUCUUGUCACU